CUUCCAAGAAAAGCUCGCAAUGUCACAAAUAAAAAGUGCCUGUACCAUAACCGACACAGGUGGGUAGGUAGAGUAUACUAAGGGGCGCGAGAUAACUCUCUCUAAGGAACUCGGCAAAAUGACUCCGUAACUUCGGGAGAAGGAGUGCCUUAUUUAUAAGGUUGCAAUAACAAGAUCCAAGCAACUGUUUAUCAAAAACACAGGUCUCCGCUAAGUCGUAAGACGAUGUAUGGGGGCUGACGCCUGCCCAGUGCCAGAAGGUUAAAGAAGUUGGUUAGUGUAUGCGAAGCUGAUGACUGAAGCCCUGGUGAACGGCGGCCGUAACAAUAACGGUCCUAAGGUAGCGAAAUUCCUUGUCGGGUAAGUUCCGACCCGCACGAAAGGCGUAAUGAUUUGGAUACUGUCUCGGAGAGAGGCUCGGUGAAAUAGACUUGUCUGUGAAGAUGCGGACUACCUGCACCAGGACAGAAAGACCCUAUGAAGCUUUACUGUAACUUGAAAUUGGAAUUGGACUUUGCUUGCGCAGUAUAGGUGGGAAGCGUUGAAAAUAUUCUUGCGGGAGUAUUGGAGCUAUCAGUGAGAUACCACUCUUGUAAUGUUAGAUUUCUAACUUUGAACCAUAAUCUGGUCAAAGAACAGUUUCAGGUGGGCAGUUUGACUGGGGCGGUCGCCUCCCAAAUGGUAACGGAGGCGUACAAAGGUUUCCUCUGAACGGAUAGAAAUCGUAUCUAGAGUGUAAAGGCAUAAGGAAGCUUGACUGUGAGACCUACAAGUCGAGCAGGGACGAAAGUCGGUCUUAGUGAUCUGACGGUACUGAGUGGAAAGGCCGUCACUCAACGGAUAAAAGUUACUCUAGGAUAACAGGCUGAUCUCCCCCAAGAGUUCACAUCGACGGGGAGGUUUGGCACCUCGAUGUCGGCUCAUCGCAUCCUGGGGCGGUAGUACGUCCCAAGGGUUGGGCUGUUCGCCCACGAAAGCGGUACGCGAGCUGGGUUCAGAACGUCGUGAGACAGUUCGGUCCAUAUCCGGUGUAGGCGCUAGAAUAUUGAGAGGAGCCUUCUUUAGUACGAGAGGACCGAGAAGGACACACCGCUGGUGUACCAGUUAUCGUGCCAACGGUAAACGCUGGGUAGCUAUGUGUGGAGUGGAUAACCGCUGAAAGCAUCUAAGUGGGAAGCCCACCUCGAGAUGAGUAUUCAC
rnacentral:rRNA from 1 species